rnacentral:rRNA from 1 species
GCGUGCCUAAUACAUGCAAGUCGAGCGGGCAGAUGGGAGCUUGCUCCCUGAUGUUAGCGGCGGACGGGUGAGUAACACGUGGGUAACCUGCCUGUAAGACUGGGAUAACUCCGGGAAACCGGGGCUAAUACCGGAUGGUUGUUUGAACCGCAUGGUUCAGACAUAAAAGGUGGCUUCGGCUACCACUUACAGAUGGACCCGCGGCGCAUUAGCUAGUUGGUGAGGUAACGGCUCACCAAGGCAACGAUGCGUAGCCGACCUGAGAGGGUGAUCGGCCACACUGGGACUGAGACACGGCCCAGACUCCUACGGGAGGCAGCAGUAGGGAAUCUUCCGCAAUGGACGAAAGUCUGACGGAGCAACGCCGCGUGAGUGAUGAAGGUUUUCGGAUCGUAAAGCUCUGUUGUUAGGGAAGAACAAGUGCCGUUCAAAUAGGGCGGCACCUUGACGGUACCUAACCAGAAAGCCACGGCUAACUACGUGCCAGCAGCCGCGGUAAUACGUAGGUGGCAAGCGUUGUCCGGAAUUAUUGGGCGUAAAGGGCUCGCAGGCGGUUUCUUAAGUCUGAUGUGAAAGCCCCCGGCUCAACCGGGGAGGGUCAUUGGAAACUGGGGAACUUGAGUGCAGAAGAGGAGAGUGGAAUUCCACGUGUAGCGGUGAAAUGCGUAGAGAUGUGGAGGAACACCAGUGGCGAAAGCGACUCUCUGGUCUGUACUGACGCUGAGGAGCGAAAGCGUGGGGAGCGAACAGGAUUAGAUACCCUGGUAGUCCACGCCGUAAACGAUGAGUGCUAAGUGUUAGGGGGUUUCCGCCCCUCUAGUGCUGCAGCUAACGCAUUAA